rnacentral:rRNA from 1 species
UACGAAGGGUGCGAGCGUUGUUCGGAAUUAUUGGGCGUAAAGGGCUCGUAGGCGGUUUGUCGCGUCGGGUGUGAAAACCUCGGGCUUAACUCGGGGCGUGCUUUCGAUACGGGCAGACUGGAGGUAUGCAGGGGAGAACGGAAUUCCUGGUGUAGCGGUGAAAUGCGCAGAUAUCAGGAGGAACACCGGUGGCGAAGGCGGUUCUCUGGGCAUGACCUGACGCUGAGGAGCGAAAGUGUGGGGAGCGAACAGG